rnacentral:lncRNA from 10 species
CCGGGAAGUUCUUUAUAGCAACGGAAAACGGUACUAGAAGAUAGCUACUGGAUUGCUUUAUUAUUACACAGCCUGUUGUAAUCUGUGGAGCUCGAGGCUGCCUCAAACGCAACUAAUAUUCAGUAAAGAUAAAUUGCCAAAGCUUCAGCUUCUAGGAAAGUUGUCAGGAUUGAGCCUGUCCAAGAACACAAGCAAUGCAGAGAAAAGCAGAGAUGAGUGACCAAGAUAAGGGAAAGAGAGACAUGAUGACAUCAUUCAGCCUCUGGAUCUAGCCAUGGGUGAAGACAGUUCAUCUUUUCUUUCCCCUCCCACGCCACCCCUGCAGGCUUCUAGUUACAUGAGCCAAUGAGCAACUUGUUUAUUCCUUAAGUCAGUGUGAGUUGGGCUUAUUUUGCUUGUAAUCAAAUAACAUUAAAUAGAUACACAACCUGACCUUGGGCAAGUCAUAGUCUCUCUGAAGGUCAGUUCAGCUGUAAAACAGGAUGAUUCCUUUUUUACUCAUCACACAGGGACAUUAAGAGGCUCACAUUUAUGUGAAAUGUACAUGAAUACAUUUUGACAACUGUAAGUGUUUGGGAAAAAAAGGAUAAGUAUUAGUGUGUAUCCCUGAAGAAUAAAGAGAUAUUGUUUACUAUGAUUUUGUUUUCUUUAGAAAACAAAGAAACACUAUUCAGUCAAUUAUUAUAGACACUGGAAAAGCAUAAGCCCAUGCCCAAACCAUUAUAGUUAAAUCUCUUACCACAGGAUUUCUCUUUCAUGACCAAAAAUCACAGAUUUUUUUCUUUCUUUUCUUUUUCAAAGAACAUGAAAACCUACUUAUUAUUCCACCUAGAAUAUGCAAGAGCUAGCAUUUAACUUUAACGUUUGUUCUUAAAGCCUGCACAAAAAUUUUGAAAUAAAGAUUUGUUGCUGUCUC